UUUCCGGAGAAAGUAUAAGUAGAUUCAAGCAGACAGCACAGUCAUCAGUUCACCGACCAUUGCGCCAUUAUUCCGUCAAAACCAGCCAUGAAGUCCUGCAUGUGGAUCGCCUUGCUUUCGCUAGCCGCGGUGGCCUCGCCACAGAAGCUCCAGUCCCGAAUCUGAUCAUUACAAAAG